CUCAGAUCUCAUCCUUGAGCAUGUAACUAACAUCAUCAUGGCAGGCAUUCACCCCUCGCUGCUUGUUCCUAGGCACAGUCUCUCCUUUUGGAAAAGAGCAUGCAUACCUCGAGACUAGAGCCAAGUCUCCUGCAUUCUUCCCUGAUUCCUGCCUCAAACAAACCUGAAGUCCAAGGUUGUGCGGGCUUAUUUGCUUUCAACUUGAUACAAGCUAGAGUUAUUUGGGAAGAGAGAAUCUCAACAAAGAAGAAGCCCCCCCCCCCCCACCAUCAGAUUGGCCUGUGGCAAUAGAAACCCUACGUCAAAGGUACACUCUGAGCUCAAGAAUGUCCCUGACUGUCUAUGCUGGCUUCCGCAGCAAACAUUCGCCUGGAUCAAUACAUGCGAGCUGUCUUUUGCAGAUGCGUACAUUCUCAGUCAUCCUCUGUUAAUGAUGAAACCCUGGAGUCCUCUUCUUGACCUGAGUUUUCUAGCACUGAAUAUCGCCCCAGAGACACGAACAAAUUGAAAGGUUCAAGAUGCCCUUGGAAUCCUACCUCUCACUAGCAUUUUGUGGCUGAGUGAUUAAUAGUUCUCUCAAAUCUUUGGAUGUGAUUAAAGCUGAAAAGUUAUGACUACUUGGUAUAGUCUGCAUGUCACCCUGACCAUCCAUUAACAAAUACCAUUUCUACUGACCUAAACACCUCCGUGUUCCUUCCAGGAAAGCAUGAGGUGGGAGAUAGAGGUCGGGGAUUA
rnacentral:lncRNA from 1 species